AGUGAACGCUGGCGGUAGGCCUAACACAUGCAAGUCGAACGGCAGCACAGUAAGAGCUUGCUCUUACGGGUGGCGAGUGGAGGACGGGUGAGGAAUAUAUCGGAAUCUACUUUUUCGUGGGGGAUCUAGUAGGGAAACUUACGCUAAUACCGCAUACGACCUACGGGUGAAAGCAGGGGAUUUUCGGCCCUUGCGCGAUUGAAUGAGCCGAUGUCGGAUUAGCUAGUUGGCGGGGUAAAGGCCCACCAAGGCGACGAUCCGUAGCUGGUCUGAGAGGAUGAUCAGCCACACUGGAACUGAGACACGGUCCAGACUCCUACGGGAGGCAGCAGUGGGGAAUAUUGGACAAUGGGCGCAAGCCUGAUCCAGCCAUACCGCGUGGGUGAAGAAGGCCUUCGGGUUGUAAAGCCCUUUUGUUGGGAAAGAAAAGCAGCAGGUUAAUACCCCGCUGUUCUGACGGUACCCAAAGAAUAAGCACCGGCUAACUUCGUG
rnacentral:rRNA from 1 species